CGCGUGGAUUAUCUACCUAUUGGUACGGGACAACAGUUGGAAACGACUGCUAAUACCGUAUACGCUGGAAACGGGAAAGGGGGCCUCUUCUUGAAAGCUCUCGCCAGUAGAUGAGUCCGCGUUUCAUUAGCUAGACGGUGGGGUAACGGCCUACCGUGGCAACGAUGAAUAGCAGGCCUGAGAGGGUGGCCUGCCACACUGGGACUGGAACACGGCCCAGACUCCUACGGGAGGCAGCAGUGGGGAAUAUUGCGCAAUGGACGAAAGUCUGACGCAGCGACGCCGCGUGGAGGAUGAAGG
rnacentral:rRNA from 1 species